UAAUUGUGCCAUCUCUCUCAUUUUAAGGUGGAAAACAGCUACUCGAUUUCUGUCCCGAUCUUCAAACAGUUCCACAAGAACAUCAUUGGGAAAGGAGGUGCAAAUAUUAAAAAGAUUCGGGAAGAGAGCAACACCAAGAUCGACCUUCCAGCAGAGAACAGCAAUUCAGAGACCAUUGUCAUCACCGGCAAGCGGGCCAACUGUGAGGCUGCCCGGAGCCGCAUCCUGUCCAUCCAGAAAGACCUGGUAAUGGGGUGCUGAAUGGAGAGGCGCUGACCGGGCUCUCGGGUGUGGGAGCCUCAGCAGCUCCCUUGGCGUGGGCCUGGGGUUUAGGCCCGCGGGCAGGUGGCCCUCACUCACCAGGGAGAAGGCCUCGGUCUGGGGUUUGGGCCUGCUGCAGGCUUCCCGCCACUCAGCUCUCGUGGUGCUUGGGUGGGUACAUGGAAGUCAUCAUGUCAUGAAGGUGCUAGAUGUUUCCUUGUCAAUUUUUGAGAAAUUUACAUGGAAGAAACUAUUAAGUGUUUAAAGGGUAAUUUGCUAGGUUUUGAUGUGUACUCCCACAGAGUCAUAUCCACAGCCAAGGGGAGGAACAUACCCAUUGCCCCCGAGAUGGCCUCUGCCCCCUUCUGUGCUGCCUUGUCCCACUCGCUGCCCAGGCCCCCACGUGCCCCGAUUCCGUGUCCCGCCCCAGGAGCAGAGUCAGGAUGUCCUGCCAGCUCUCUGGACGACGACGGCCUCCCCGGCUGGUCCUGAGGGGCAGCCGCCAGCCAUGGUGUCCCGCAAACCCCUGCGCUGCUCUGUGGCCGCACAGUGCUUCGGGGCAUGGGUACAGGGUCUGCCUCCUUGCCUGAGCUUUGAAGUUUGUGUUUCAAGGGCUUUUCUGUUUCAUCUACAUUGUCAAAGUUUAUUAACAGGAUUUUCAUCACAUCCCAGUCACCCUUUCACUGUAGUGGCGUCAUCUUUCUCAUCCCAAGUAUAUAAUUUACGUCAUUAUGCAGUGACUUCUCUUACCCCUGAUUGUAUUCCUGGCUCUCGAAUCUGUUUUUCAUAUUAAAGUGGGCUUCAUUUAG